CGGGGGCGGAGUCUACACAUGCAAGUCGAGCGGCAGCGGAAGUAGCUUGCUACUUUGCCGGCGAGCGGCGGACGGGUGAGUAAUGUCUGGGAAACUGCCUGAUGGAGGGGGAUAACUACUGGAAACGGUAGCUAAUACCGCAUAACGUCGCAAGACCAAAGAGGGGGACCUUCGGGCCUCUUGCCAUCAGAUGUGCCCAGAUGGGAUUAGCUAGUAGGUGGGGUAACGGCUCACCUAGGCGACGAUCCCUAGCUGGUCUGAGAGGAUGACCAGCCACACUGGAACUGAGACACGGUCCAGACUCCUACGGGAGGCAGCAGUGGGGAAUAUUGCACAAUGGGCGCAAGCCUGAUGCAGCCAUGCCGCGUGUAUGAAGAAGGCCUUCGGGUUGUAAAGUACUUUCAGCGGGGAGGAAGGUGUUGAGGUUAAUAACCUCAGCAAUUGACGUUACCCGCAGAAGAAGCACCGGCUAACUCCGUGCCAGCAGCCGCGGUAAUACGGAGGGUGCAAGCGUUAAUCGGAAUUACUGGGCGUAAAGCGCACGCAGGCGGUCUGUCAAGUCAGAUGUGAAAUCCCCGGGCUCAACCUGGGAACUGCAUUCGAAACUGGCAGGCUAGAGUCUUGUAGAGGGGGGUAGAAUUCCAGGUGUAGCGGUGAAAUGCGUAGAGAUCUGGAGGAAUACCGGUGGCGAAGGCGGCCCCCUGGACAAAGACUGACGCUCAGGUGCGAAAGCGUGGGGAGCAAACAGGAUUAGAUACCCUGGUAGUCCACGCCGUAAACGAUGUCGACUUGGAGGUUGUGCCCUUGAGGCGUGGCUUCCGGAGCUAACGCGUUAAGUCGACCGCCUGGGGAGUACGGCCGCAAGGUUAAAACUCAUAUGAAUUGACGGGGGCCCGCACAGCGGUGGAGCAUGUGGUUUAAUUCGAUGCACGCGAAAACCUUACCUACUCUUGACAUCCAGAGACUUUUCCAGAGAUGGAUUGGGUGCCUUCGGGAACUCUGAACAGGUGCUGCAUGGCUGUCGUCAGCUCGUGUGUGAAUGUGGUUAAGUCCCGCAACGAGCGCACUCUUAAUCCUUUUGUGCCAGCGUUCGGCGGCAACUCAAGGGAACUGGCAGUGACACCUGGGAGAGGUGGGAUGACGUCGAGUCUCUGCUUACAGUAGGCUACCACGUGCUAACAGUGGGCCGCAUCAUAAG
rnacentral:rRNA from 1 species